UACGUAGGGGGCAAGCGUUGUCCGGAAUCAUUGGGCGUAAAGAGCGUGUAGGCGGCCAGGUAGGUCUGCUGUGAAAACUCGAGGCUCAACCUCGAGACGUCGGCGGAAACCAUCUGGCUAGAGUCCGGAAGAGGAGAGUGGAAUUCCUGGUGUAGCGGUGAAAUGCGCAGAUAUCAGGAAGAACACCCGUGGCGAAGGCGGCUCUCUGGGACGGUACUGACGGCUGAGACGCGAAAGCGUGGGGAGCGAACAGG
rnacentral:rRNA from 1 species